GACGAACGCUGGCGGCGUGCCUAAUACAUGCAAGUUGAGCGAUGAAGAUUGGUGCUUGCACCAAUUUGAAGAGCAGCGAACGGGUGAGUAACGCGUGGGGAAUCUGCCUUUGAGCGGGGGACAACAUUUGGAAACGAAUGCUAAUACCGCAUAACAACUUUAAACAUAAGUUUUAAGUUUGAAAGAUGCAAUUGCAUCACUCAAAGAUGAUCCCGCGUUGUAUUAGCUAGUUGGUGAGGUAAAGGCUCACCAAGGCGAUGAUACAUAGCCGACCUGAGAGGGUGAUCGGCCACAUUGGGACUGAGACACGGCCCAAACUCCUACGGGAGGCAGCAGUAGGGAAUCUUCGGCAAUGGACGAAAGUCUGGCCGAGCAACGCCGCGUGAGGGAAGAAGGUUUUCGGAUCGUAAAACUCUGUUGGUAGAGAAGAACGUUGGUGAGAGUGGAAAGCUCAUCAAGUGACGGUAACUACCCAGAAAGGGACGGCUAACUACGUG
rnacentral:rRNA from 1 species